CCUACGGGAGGCAGCAGUGAGGAAUAUUGGUCAAUGGACGCAAGCCUGAACCAGCCAUGCCGCGUGCAGGAUGACGGCUCUAUGAGUUGUAAACCGCUUUUGUACGAGGGGAAACCGCGCUACGCGUAUCGCGUUGAACGUAUCUUACGAAUAAGGAUCGGCUAACUCCGUGCCAGCAGCCGCGGUAAUACGGAGGGUCCGAGCGUUAUCCGGAUUUACUGGGUUUAAGGGGUGCGUAGGCGGUAAGCUAAGUUUGAGGGGAAAUGUCGGGGCUCAACCCCGCGACUGCCUGUAAUACUGUUGGACUAGAGAGCAGGCGAGGUAGGCGGAAUGAAUGGUGUAGCGGUGAAAUGCUUAGAGAUGAUACAGAACACCGAUGGCGAAGGCAGCUUACCAGACUGUAUCUGACGUUGAGGCACGAAAGCGUGGGUAGCAAACAGGAUUAGAUACCCUAGUAGUC
rnacentral:rRNA from 1 species